CUGAAUAAAAUAUUAAUACCAUCAAUAUAAUAUUUUUAAUUUUGUUAUAUUGUGGGCUUGUGGAAGCUGAUGGUUUAUUGUCUUUUUUAUUUUUUAGAAGUAUGAGAUAGAUAAUUUACUUUUAUAGACAUUUGAGUAAAUAUCUCAGCGAUUAUGAAUGAAAAAAAUCAUUAUUUACAAUUCCAUCACAUUUUGUUGUGUAAAAAUGAAAUGUUUUUCCCUUCGAUGGUGGUGGUAACGUCAAACGCGACUGCUCGUUUUUACAGUCGAGCACUCCAGUAUCUCUUAUCCAUUUCAAUGGUUAUACGCAUAGACAUAAUAUAAUAUACAUAUUUUCUAUUAUAUGUCUAUGGUUAUACGAUAUAAAAUAGUGAAAAACUGAUAACUGAUAAUGAUAGCAACGAGUAUAUUAUAUUAAAAUUUUAAAUAAAAAACCGACACGGCAACACUAAAAACAAAUAAAAUAAAAUAAAUUAUAAUCUAAGAGAUUUAUGAGACAGUACCUGAUCGCCUACAAUAUAUUUCAAAACGUUAUAUCAAUGCAAUUCACCAAUCAAAAUUAUGAACACCGUUUGAGCAACUGUGAAUAGUUGUUGUGAAGUACAGGUAAAAUAAAUAAAUGAGGAACAGCUGAAGUGAUUCCAGUACAACCCAUAACAGCAAAGUAGUAAUCGAGGAAAAAAACCGCUGAGCAGCACCUAUCAACAAUUACCAACAACACUUAUGAAGAGACAAAGGAACUACUGCAGUAACAACAAUAGAAGUAACCACAUAUAAACUAUCAAAUGUGAUCUACAUUUUUCACAAAGGAUUCAAUCUGAAGACAUAAGUGAACAUAGUCAAGAUAAAAAGAUGGAUAUAUUCACCAAAACAUCAAAAGAGGAAACCAGAUACAGAGGAAAUAACACAUUUAGCAGCACCAAUCCACAAGUACAUGAGCCAAAAACAAGAAAACCAAGAGUGGAAGCCAUGAUCAAAACAACCUGCAGAAUAUUAUUUUAUUAUUUUGAUACAAAACCCGCAACACAAGCCAUAACAAUUUUAUAAAAUAAUUUUAUACAAAAUAUAUUUCUAUAAGAUUAAGGUAAAAA